rnacentral:rRNA from 1 species
CUACGGGAUGCAGCAGUGGGGAAUUUUGCGCAAUGGGGGAAACCCUGACGCAGCAAUACCGCGUGAGUGAAGAAGGCCUUUGGGUCGUAAAGCUCUUUUCUUGGGGAAGAUAGUGACGGUACCCAAGGAAUAAGCACCGGCUAACUCCGUGCCAGCAGCCGCGGUAAUACGGAGGGUGCAAGCGUUGUUCGGAUUUACUGGGCGUAAAGGGCACGUAGGCGGCACAGCAAGUUAAGGGUGAAAUCCCGGGGCUCAACUCCGGAACUGCUCUUAAAACUGCUGAGCUAGAGAUAGUCAGAGGCGGGUGGAAUUCCAGGUGUAGAGGUGAAAUUCGUAGAUAUCCGGAGGAACACCGGUGGCGAAGGCGGCCCGCUGGGGCUAUUCUGACGCUAAGGUGCGAAAGCGUGGGGAGCAAACGGGAUUAGAUACCCCUGUAGUC